UUUCUCCGUAAGGUAACUUGCGGAGGGAUCAUUACACAAAUAAGAAGGCGGGCUGGACCUCUCGGGGUUACAGCCUUGCUGAAUUAUUCACCCUUGUCUUUUGCGUACUUCUUGUUUCCUUGGUGGGUUCGCCCACCACUAGGACAAACAUAAACCUUUUGUAAUUGCAAUAAGCGUCAGUAACAAAUUAAUAAUUACAACUUUCAACAACGGAUCUCUUGGUUCUGGCAUCGAUGAAGAACGCAGCGAAAUGCGAUAAGUAGUGUGAAUUGCAGAAUUCAGUGAAUCAUCGAAUCUUUGAACGCACAUUGCGCCCUUUGGUAUUCCAAAGGGCAUGCCUGUUCGAGCGUCAUUUGUACCCUCAAGCUUUGCUUGGUGUUGGGCGUCUUGUCUCUAGCUUUGCUGGAGACUCGCCUUAAAGUAAUUGGCAGCCGGCCUACUGGUUUCGGAGCGCAGCACAAGUCGCACUCUAUAUCAGCAAAGGUCUAGCAUCCAUUAAGCCUGCUGUCAACCUCUGACCUCGCAACACCUAGCAACAACCGCGGAACUCAAGCAUAUCAUAAGGCGGGGAGAAA
rnacentral:rRNA from 1 species